AGGUUCUAUGAAAGAAGAGACGGUUAGCACACCACUUGACGAGGAUGGAAGAGGUCUUAGUGGCCAGCAACACGUAUACGGUUAAGGCACUGCCACCCACAGUACUUCGUGGCAUCUCUAACCAGGUUUUUUU